AGCCUUCUGUAUCCGUGCUGAGAUUUCGUCACACACCAGACCAUAAAAGCUGGUGAGACUCCCUGGAUAAGUGAAGCG
rfam:Schistosoma margrebowiei strain Zambia genome assembly, scaffold: SMRZ_scaffold0001320